UGAAGACAUGAAUGCAUUAUCUAUUCAUAACUGAAUAAGCAAGCCGUGUGUGGUUCUGUCUGUGGGACCUCUCUUCUAGGAGACCUGAGUCCCCUCAGCUGGGCGUGGCUAGCAAGGGGCCUGGUGCCUCGCAGCUGCUGCUUUUGUUCACGCCAUUCUGGGCUAUCUGCCACCUUCUUCUGAGCCUUACCCUGUUCAGAUUACCACGGCAGUCUGAGUCAGGAUGGUGCUGCUUGCCGCAAGGCUUUGAAAACUAGUUUCAGAAAAUUCCUGGGCUUAUUCACAGGCAAUCGCUCAGAACUUCGUACUUGAAACAGCGGUCUUCAUAAAACCUGUUAGCUGCUUUCUUAAUUGCAUUGAACUUACGGAGGUUUCCUUCUGUUUGUCUGAGGACAUGCCAAAUUAGGAAUACUUUCCCCCCCAGGGAGAAAAGAUAAGGACCAACUAUCAGGAGAAGUUAUGAAUAUGUGGCAGUAAUACUUAGAGGCUGCUCUCCGUGGUGAAUUACACUUUGAAAGACUUUCGCAGACCGAGGCCCAUUUCUGACAUCAAGUUGAAAUCACCUUAGCAUGGAUAAUUUUUAAAUGAAAUAGUUUCUGAGGGUGGAAAAGAGCCAUAUUGGAUUUUAUCUGGUUAUUAAAUUCAAAAAAAUGUCUCAUAUCAAGAAGGUGGAUAUUGUCCCAGCAUUAUUAAAAUAUUCUAUUUAGAAAAAUGACAUUGUUACUCCUAUGAAACAGAUGUUGGUCUAGAUAAAGGUAAAUGCCUUCACGGGUCUCAAACACGCGCACAUGGGAUUACAGAAAAUAAUUAUAGUUCAAGCAGGGAAUGCUGCCUCUUUGGCUGGGCAGACAGUGUUUGGGUGAUCUGCUGCGGUCUAACAAAGUACCCCCAAACUUUAUGGCUUAAAACAAGGGCUGGAAAGCUUUUCCAGCAAAGUGCAUCCAUUUAAACUCUCGGUGGCAACUGCUCAACUCAGCUGUUGCAAGUCAAAAGCAGUCAGAAACAGUCUGUAACCAGGUGGCAUCUCCACUCGCCAGAGAGGCGGUGGGCAUCAGCCGGUGGGCUAUAGCUUCUUGGCUUCUGGUUUAUAAGGGCUCAUAAUUUUAUAGGUUGGUAUUGGGGCAGAGUAUCUGGCUUCUUGUGGUUGACCAGUUUAACGGAUGUGUAUGCCUUGAACUGGCAAGCAGACUGAGGGAAGACUGGUCUUGUUGGUCUCCAUCACACACCUAGCAGCAGCAGACUGGGCUGUGGCUGUGUACCAUGUGUCUCCCCUAGCCCCUGUCGUUGGCUAAUUUGGGAUUUCCUCCAUAGGAGCUAGGCUGCUGGGACUCGAAAAGCAUAAGCUUCAAGACCUCUUCAAGGUUUGGCUAAUAGGUCACAUGAUGCUAUUUUAGACAUUGUUAGUCAAAAUCAUAAAAUCACAAGGAUGGAGGAGAGGACCAUCCCUCCUGAUGUGAAGAGCUCCAGAUGUUGGUGGCCAUUUUUAAGGGAGUAAAAUUUUAUCAAAAGAGAAUGUGUUAACUUCUGCAUUUGUUUCUCACUUUAAAAGACUGUUAGCACUUUGUGUAUCCUGGCUCCCAUUGUUACUGUAAGUCAUUCAGUAACAUAACUGAAAAAUAAGAAUAUAUCUAAAUCUCCAUGCAAAGUACCUGGAAACGUUUGAGAAAAGGAGUUUAUGAGAGUGAAUGAGGCUGGGUUGUGGUGGCGCAGGCCUUUAAUCCCAGCAAUCAGAGGCAGAGGUAGGUGGAUCUCUGAGUUUAAGGCCAGCCUGGUCCACAGAGCAAAAGUGAACCAGUGACCCAGUUUGAAGUAACCUUUUGAUUGGUAAUGUGGGUCUUAGUUAAAAGUGCCAUUCCCUCUUCAUGAAAUCCUCUCAGCUACCACACACCCAGUAUUAUGUUUUUUUAUCCUUUAAACACAGCCCCAAACCACUACAACUCACUCAUAAAACAUAGUCCAAAUUUCAUUUUGAUAAUGGUAAGUAUAGAACAUUUGCAUUUGUUUGUAAUUAUUUCAAUGAAUGUCUCUGUCACUUAUAUGAACUAUCUGCCCAAACUCUCUCUUCUUGCCUGCUCACCAAUUACAGUUCCUGGCAUGCAGUAAGUGCUCAAUUAAUAAACUUGGAAAACAAUUGAGAGGAAAAGGUUCUCUCAACAUAAAUGAUUGAUUUUCACACCAAGUAACAACUUGAAUUGUACAUGAAGGGAGCAGAAAGUCGUAGAGACAUUUACCGGAUCACUCACAGCAUAAAAGCAGACCCUUACUAUGGAGGACCAGUGGCUGUCAAUGCUCAGUUCAAGGUGGGUUUUAUGACGAGCCUGCUGGGAGUGUUCCUGCCAGUCCAGACCAGAUGCCUCCUCAGCCAGUACUUGCCACAUGGAUUCCCUAUUCCCUAUGAGUUACUGCUUGAAGACUUGACCGGUUCUUGUGGCCUGUUUCUGAAUCCUCUCUAACACAAGCAUGCGGAAGGGUCGUGUGCCGUAGAAGCGAGGGGAGAAUCGACUUCCCAGUGUAACAGGUCGUAGUGAAGAACACAGGCUGAAGGGUUUUGGACUGCUGAAUUUUCUCCAAUGCUCGCAGACUAAGUUUGUUUAUUCUUUAUGAAGCUAGUCAGCACCACCUGUUUAAGUGGUGUAAGGGACAUUCAACUCGGUGUAGCACAGAGCGCAAGCAGCGGAAGCCCCUUAGAGACCUCUAUAGCUGAGGAGACUCUUAGGACUUGUUCCAAAGUCACACAUCCAAAACAGUUGCAGGACGAGAAGGCACACCCAAGGCUAAUGAUGCCUGCACCAGAUCGACUUCCAUGACAUCAGCUAAAACCCACACUGGACACAAACCGCUCAUUCCCGAGCACCCGACUGUGAUGUCGCCGCAGCCAGAGUCUUACGAAUCCUCUGUCUAGGUUUUAUUCUUACCAUCAUCUUAAACAUUUGACAGAGAAGCUCAAUUCCAAAGACACUGUCCCUAAAAAUAACUAAAAGACACGCUGGAAAAAUUAGCAUAAUGUAUUUUUUUUUUUAAAUCUAUAAUUUACAGUGUAAUCUAAAAAUGUGUGACAAAGUAAUUCUUGUGCCGAGCAAACUCCCCUGGGAUGUUUGGUUCUGUUUAAAAGCGUCUCGGUAUGGGGGCUGAGGGAGCGGCGGCCUGUGGCACUCUUCCACCAGGGUGAAAUGUUAUUCCUGUGACUCACAGUGAGGGGCCUGACGAACACUCGGAGUCGAUAUGGAGGUUCUUGCCAUCAGGAUAAAAUGAGAAUUGCAGUGGGUGGUCCCAGUCUAGCCUUCUGCUUCUGUCCUGGCUCAGGUGGUUGCCCUGGAAACAGUGGGGUGGCAAACACAUCUAUUUGGAACUUUUAGAGAGAGCCUGCUCAUGAGGCCUGAUUUUGAUUUGCCCCCCAGCUUUCCAGAAGGCUCUCUUCCUCGGAGAGGGCGCGCCCCUUUGGACUACCUUGAAAGCUGGUGCAGUCCAGCGUCUUUGGCAAGGUCCAGUUGGCUGGCCGGUCAGAGUUUGGCAGACCACGGGGAAAGGGGCUCUGCCCAUCGUUAUUUAGCCUUGGCUCCUCCACACAGAUGGUUCUGAUCUUCUCCUCCCCCACCUAAGAAUUUUUCUAAAAUGACACCCAAGUUUUUCUUGGCAGGCGUAUCGUUCCUGGCAAACAGUUCACUGCAGCUCUAAUUAUGAUGACAGAUCUAAUGGAGAAGAUAAUCAUAUUAAAUGGUUCUUAUUCUGUUCCGUGUGAUGAAUCAGUGAUUGCCAUGAAAUGCGUUCAACAGCCAGGAGUAAAGAGAAAAGGUAGCACACCCAUGGGACAAGUUAAGAUUUUAAGGACUCCAAAACCGGGCAGGGGUCGGGCAGAAUGAUAUCCGAGUAGUGCUGGAUGUGAGAGAUUGUACCUCACUCACUGAUCAAGGAGCCCCAUUCUCCUCAAGCGUCUUUCAUAGCAGACAGGAUUCUGACACUUGUACGCACAGCAAAGAAGACCUUAUUCAAGAGGAUCUCAGUAGGGUGGCCUGUGCCCCAGAAGGUGAGAGAGAACAAGCUCUUGUCUCCGACAAAGACAAGUAGGGGUUGACGGCCACUGAGCAGAAUGGCCGGGAGGAGACACUGGGCUGAGAAGCUUCUUUCUAAAUUGAUCUACCUGCUUUGCUGCUGAGCACAGCCCACAUAACAAAGGAAAGGGGUAAGAAAGGUACUCAGAUACCAAGGGUAUUCGGGUAUCAAACUCCUCAACAAAUUGCCGGGGGAUGCUUGCUAAAACUGGGCUAGGCAAGCCGAAGACAAGCAAACCAGCCAGAGUAAAGGCCCGGUGGAGAAAGGGAUUCAGAGGAGCCAGUUACGGUUUGAAUCUAGAAUGUUCCCCACAGGCUGGAAUACUCAGUCCCCAGCUUGUGGUGCUAAUUUAAAAGCCAUGGGAGACUUGACGUGGGGCUUGGCUGAGAAAAGAAAGGCUGUCGUUGGAAGCUGUACCUGUUUCUGGGUCCAGUCCCAAGCUCUUUGCCUCCUGGUUCGCCAUGAUGGAGGAGCACUGUCUCAUGUUCCCACCGCCCUGAGCUCUGCCACGCCUUCCCUGCUGUGACAGACUAGACCACUUCUGUCGGGUCUUUUGGUCACAGAGAAGCCAAGGUAACUAAUGUAGAUGCCAAGGGAAAACACUUCCUGAUGCAGGAUGGGCAAGGGCUUCCCGAAAGGGUUCUAAUAGAAUAAAAAACAGCCCUAAGAAUUGACAAAUGGGACCUCAUGAAGCCAAAAAGCUUCUACACAGCAAAGGAAACAAUUAAGGGAAGAGACAACCACCCAAUGAGAGAAAAUCUUUGUAAAAUCCCCAUCUGACAGAAAGUUACUGUAUAAAAUCUAAAAAGAACUUCAAAACUUAACUAUCACAAAACAAUCUAAUCAGUACAUGGGUAAAUAAAUGUACAGACACGUCCCAAAAGCUGGGCAGAUGGCCAGAAGAUACCUGGGAAAAUGGUCGGUGUUCUUAGCUAUUAGUGGAAUGCAAAUAAAAACAGCCAACCACUUAGCCAUUUCUCCAGCAUCCUAAUAAAGAUUCUGAAAUAGCCUCAUUCAUUGAGUCAAAGAUCCAUUUGGA